rnacentral:lncRNA from 1 species
GCCGCCUACGGAUCUCUUCCCAAGCACCUAGAACUUUCCAAAGCGUGCUUGGAAUUUAACACCUUGGUCGUCGAUCCCCGCAAAUAUACUCUGAUGAGACCGGCUUUCUUCCCAUACCGCCCAGGAGUUUCUCCAGGUGGCAUUCCUGUCGCCUUGAGGUGGAACAUCAGUAGAGGCUCGAGGCUGAAGCAAGCACAAUACACAAGAGACUCCGAUUCGUACAGGAACAUUUCGAAAACAGGAAAUCCUGAGGACAAUGUGUAUCGUUUUCCAAAUCUUUGAGUAAACCGAAUGCUGCUCUAGGAAGAUUGCACUCCAUUGUAUUUAUCCUGCAGCUUUGUGUAACCUGUCAGCCCUGCACACCCAGCUGGUAUUUGUAUCUGGAUGAGAAGCGCAGCCUUUGGGAAGGCAGAACACUGGGGCAGAACUGGUGCCAACACCAGU